GGGCCCUUAGCUCAGUCGGUAGAGCAGCUGGCUUUUAACCAGACGGUCGGGGGUUCGAUCCCCUCAGGGCCCACCA
rnacentral:tRNA from 2 species